GAUUUUUGUGUGGACACUGGUUUUCAACUCAUUUGACAAUGUCUGAGGGUUUCUUUUGCUCCACAACCUUGUCAGCAUUUGGUGGUGCCAGUGUUCUAGAUGUGGCAGUUCUAAUGGAUAAAUCCACCUCGAUAGCCCAGUAGCACCUUGACCCACCCAGCCCAAUAUGUCCCCAACUCCACUCAUCUUUCCCGUCAUGCGUGCAGAUACUGAAU